ACAACAAAACCCUAACAUUACUAGGUGGAGGCCACCCCAAUUGUUCAUCUACUCUUCUUUCUGAUUUUUCUCUGUUUCAAAAUUUCUCACGGUCUCUCUCUGUUCAUGAUAUUUUUCUGGAAAAAUACAACAGCAAUCUCACAGAUCUCCCAAUCUCUCAGUCACUCUCGGUCACUCUCUUCUAUGAACAACAAUAACACGACACACUGUACAUCUCUCUCGAUCUCUCACUGUUUCAACAACAAUUUCAACUCUGCGAUUCUCGGUUCGCACUCAUCUCUCUCUGAGAUUCUCGGUUCGUCACUCUCUCUCUCUCUCUGCGAUUCUCGGUUCGCACUCAUCUCUCUCUGAGUCUCUCUCGCGAUCAAACAACCACGAACAAAAAAAACAUGAGCGUUGCCUCUCUCAAUCUCUACACUCUCUGCUCAAAUCUCGAUUUCUCUCUCAAAAUAUAUCAUCACAGAAGAAACAAAUACCAGCAAAAAUCAUAAAUCCCUAAACCCCUAAAUGAACACGGAAACGGAAUUCGAAGAUAUAAGCACAAAUCGAAAAAAGUGUAAGGAAAAAUAUGAAAUCAGAUUUUGUAUUGACAUUUUGGUGCAAUGUUUGGAUGCAUUGGAACAGCAGUUGUGCAGGUUGAGCAGCAUCUUGCAGGGUAUUUGGACUGUUGUAGAUUGUAAUUUUAUUGAACAGAGAAUCUUUAGGGAUCGUGAAAGGCAAUUGAUGGAGAUGAAGAGAAUAAUGUGGGGCCAAGAAAGAAGUUACUAUAUUUUUUUUGUUUUUGUAUGUAAUGGGCUUCCCACAAAAAUGGGCUUAGACUAAA